rnacentral:lncRNA from 1 species
CAAGGCAGAGAGAAGAGAACAGCCAUCUCAACCAGCCAGCAGGAGCCUGGAGUUCAGAGAGCUCGGAGCUCCACUGCACACCACAUACCCGGAGCUGCCGCCUUCGGCCAGUGUCCAUCCCCAGCCUCCCAAGCUUGGCCCAAGCCCCCUGGCCUUUGUGGGGCUGAACCCACCACUGAGCACACCCAACAUGCCCUCAUCCCACAGUUCCCUGCCUCCCCCACCUGAGCCCAGCACCCCACAGAGGCCUGAUGAGGGCACAGGCUCAGUAAACACGGGUGGAACUGCGCUGAUUGAAGGUUGGAGACUGUCUUGAAUUAAACCACGAUGGAUGACUCUUUUAAAGCAGGGGAAUGAAAGAAGAAGAAAGUAAAGCUGACAUGAGUAGCCUUAGGCUUUCAGCAGGCCCAAUUUAACAGUUCGAGAAGUUGCCACUAUUGAACAAUAAUUCUUUCCUGUGAAGCGCCCUGGUCUAAUGCUGGACAGAGUCCUCUGAGCUGUGCUAAGCCAGUUCCCUGCCUUUACAGGUCUUACGUCUUAAACCUUUGAAAGUAAACGUCAAAUAUAUUACACUCCUGGGGCACGACUCUCACUGGCCACAUUUCUGGAAUACCUGAGACUAAAUAGCCAAACUUCAAAUGGAUUCAACCAACUUGUUGAGUAUCUACAAGAAGAAUUGGAUAAUGCCCUUGUCCUUGAGGAAGACAUGGGAUGAAACAUUGACAGCUGGGAUGGAUUAGGGUAAAGGCUUUACUGAAAGGAUGUAAGAAUUGCCACAUUCCUCCCACUUGGCCAGCGAGUGACGUGCGGCUGUCAGCACAGGGAGCUGCAACCGCCCGCCCCUCCGUCUGCGUGAGGGGCCCCUCGUGGCAUCUUCCGAGUGCUAUGGAACACCUUGCUCCCGCUCCACCCGCCCCGCCCUCCAGUGCCUUCGUAUUUCUCUCAUGUGCUUUUGUCUUUUUUCCUUUCCUUUUCUCCCUUACAUAUCCAACUGACACCUUGUCCACUUUGCUGCAAUUACUAAUUCAUGGAUUGAUUAAAUCAUCUACUCCACAGAUACUUACAGAUGAGCUGCUGUGUGCAGUGUUCACGGAAGGCACUGUGGAAUUGGGAUCGGGCGCCUGCCCCGAAAUCCCACACAAAGGGGACAGCAGGAGGAGGCCGCUCAGCUGUGGGAGUGGGACGGGGAAAGGGAGGUUUCAAGGCCAAGUGGAAGAAGUGGCGGUGGGGGAAGGUAUUCCAGGUGGGCACACUGUCACCCACUCAUUCACACCAUCCACACUGCCCAGA